rnacentral:rRNA from 1 species
CACGUAGGGUGCGAGCGUUGUCCGGAAUUAUUGGGCGUAAAGAGCUCGUAGGCGGUGUGUCGCGUCGGCCGUGAAAACCUGCAGCUUAACUGUGGGCUUGCGGUCGAUACGGGGCAUCACUGGAGUUCGGCAGGGGAGACUGGAAUUCCUGGUGUAGCGGUGAAAUGCGCAGAUAUCAGGAGGAACACCGGUGGCGAAGGCGGAUCUCUGGGCCGAUACUGA